CGACCUGAGAUCAGACGAGAUUACCCGCUGAAUUUAAGCAUAUCAAA
rnacentral:rRNA from 2 species